AUUGAACGCUGGCGGCAUGCCUUACACAUGCAAGUCGAACGGCAGCACGGGUGCCUGCACCUGGUGGCGAGUGGCGAACGGGUGAGUAAUACAUCGGAACAUGUCCUGUAGUGGGGGAUAGCCCGGCGAAAGCCGGAUUAAUACCGCAUACGAUCUACGGAUGAAAGCGGGGGACCUUCGGGCCUCGCGCUAUCGGGUUGGCCGAUGGCUGAUUAGCUAGUUGGUGGGGUAAAGGCCUACCAAGGCGACGAUCAGUAGCUGGUCUGAGAGGACGACCAGCCACACUGGGACUGAGACACGGCCCAGACUCCUACGGGAGGCAGCAGUGGGGAAUUUUGGACAAUGGGCGAAAGCCUGAUCCAGCAAUGCCGCGUGUGUGAAGAAGGCCUUCGGGUUGUAAAGCACUUUUGUCCGGAAAGAAAUCCUUGGCCCUAAUACGGUCGGGGGAUGACGGUACCGGAAGAAUAAGCACCGGCUAACUACGUG
rnacentral:rRNA from 1 species